rnacentral:rRNA from 1 species
GACGAACGCUGGCGGCGUGCCUAAUACAUGCAAGUCGAGCGCAGGAAGUCAUCCGAACCCUUCGGGGGGACGUUGACGGAAUGAGCGGCGGACGGGUGAGUAACACGUAAAGAACCUGCCCUCAGGUCUGGGAUAACCACGAGAAAUCGGGGCUAAUACCGGAUGGGUCAUCGGACCGCAUGGUCCGAGGAUGAAAGGCGCUCCGGCGUCGCCUGGGGAUGGCUUUGCGGUGCAUUAGCUAGUUGGUGGGGUAACGGCCCACCAAGGCGACGAUGCAUAGCCGACCUGAGAGGGUGAUCGGCCACACUGGGACUGAGACACGGCCCAGACUCCUACGGGAGGCAGCAGUAGGGAAUCUUCCACAAUGGACGAAAGUCUGAUGGAGCAACGCCGCGUGAACGAUGAAGGCCCUCGGGUCGUAAAGUUCUGUUGUAAGGGAAGAACAAGUGCCGCAGGCAAUGGCGGCACCUUGACGUACCUUGCGAGAAAG